AACGAACGCUGGCGGCAUGCCUAACACAUGCAAGUCGAACGAGACCUUCGGGUCUAGUGGCGCACGGGUGCGUAACACGUGGGAAUUUGCCUCGGGGUAUGGAAUAAACUCAGGGAAACUUGAGCUAAUACCAUAUAAUGUCUUCGGACCAAAGAUUUAUCGCCCUGAGAUAAGCCCGCGUAGGAUUAGCUAGUUGGUGGGGUAAAGGCUCACCAAGGCGACGAUCCUUAGCUGGUCUGAGAGGAUGAUCAGCCACACUGGGACUGAGACACGGCCCAGACUCCUACGGGAGGCAGCAGUUGGGGAAUAUUCCACAAUGGGGGAAACCCGUGAUGGAGCGAUGCCGCGUGCAGGAAGACGCUUUUCGGAGUGUAAACUGCUUUAAUAGGAAGA
rnacentral:rRNA from 1 species